AACGAACGCUGGCGGCGUGCUUAACACAUGCAAGUCGAACGAGAAGUCUGUAGCAAUACAGAUUGUAAAGUGGCGCACGGGUGAGUAACACGUGGGUAAUCUGCCCUCGAGUUUGGGAUAACCCCGCGAAAGCGGGGCUAAUACCGAAUAAGACCACAGGGACCAAAGUCCCAGGGGUAAAAGGUGGCCUCUAUUUAUAAGCUACCACUUGAGGAUGAGCCCGCGGCCCAUUAGCUAGUUGGCAGGGUAACGGCCUACCAAGGCGAUGAUGGGUAGCUGGUCUGAGAGGACGAUCAGCCACACUGGAACUGAGACACGGUCCAGACUCCUACGGGAGGCAGCAGUGGGGAAUAUUGCUCAAUGGGCGAAAGCCUGAAGCAGCAACGCCGCGUGGGGGAUGAAGGUUCUCGGAUUGUAAACCCCUUUCGAUCGGAACGAAUCCCCUCCUGGUGAACAAUCAGGAGGAUCGACGGUACCGAGAGAAGAAGCCACGGCUAACUCUGUGCCAGCAGCCGCGGUAACAC
rnacentral:rRNA from 1 species